CCUACGGGAGGCAGCAGUGAGGAAUAUUGGUCAAUGGGCGCGAGCCUGAACCAGCCAAGUCGCGUGAGGGAGGACGGCCCUACGGGUUGUAAACCUCUUUUGCCGGGGAGCAACGGGCGCCACGUGUGGCGCCACUGAGAGUACCCGGAGAAAAAGCAUCGGCUAACUCCGUGCCAGCAGCCGCGGUAAUACGGAGGAUGCGAGCGUUAUCCGGAUUUAUUGGGUUUAAAGGGUGCGUAGGCGGAUCGUUAAGUCAGUGGUCAAAUUGCGGGGCUCAACCCCUUCCCGCCAUUGAAACUGGCGAUCUUGAGUGGGAGAGAAGUAUGCGGAAUGCGUGGUGUAGCGGUGAAAUGCAUAGAUAUCACGCAGAACCCCGAUUGCGAAGGCAGCAUGCCGGCUUCCGACUGACGCUGAAGCACGAAAGCGUGGGGAUCGAACAGGAUUAGAUACCCCUGUAGUC
rnacentral:rRNA from 1 species